GAUGAACGCUGGCGGCGUGCCUAAUACAUGCAAGUCGAGCGAACAGACGAGGAGCUUGCUCCUCUGACGUUAGCGGCGGACGGGUGAGUAACACGUGGAUAACCUACCUAUAAGACUGGGAUAACUUCGGGAAACCGGAGCUAAUACCGGAUAAUAUAUUGAACCGCAUGGUUCAAUAGUGAAAGACGGUUUUGCUGUCACUUAUAGAUGGAUCCGCGCCGCAUUAGCUAGUUGGUAAGGUAACGGCUUACCAAGGCAACGAUGCGUAGCCGACCUGAGAGGGGGAUCGGCCGCACUAGAAGUGAGACACGGUCCAGACUCCUACGGGAGGCAGCAGUAGGGAAUCUGCCGCAAUGGGCGAAAGCCUGACGGAGCAACGGCGCGUGAGUGAUGAAGGUCUUCGGAUCGUAAAACUCUGUUAUGAGGGAAGAACAAAUGUGUAAGUAACUAUGCACGUCUUGACGGUACCUAAUCAGAAAGCCACGGCUAACUACGUG
rnacentral:rRNA from 1 species